GUCGCAAGACCAAAGUGGGGGACCUUCGGGCCUCAUGCCAUCAGAUGUGCCCAGAUGGGAUUAGCUAGUAGGUGGGGUAAUGGCUCACCUAGGCGACGAUCCCUAGCUGGUCUGAGAGGAUGACCAGCCACACUGGAACUGAGACACGGUCCAGACUCCUACGGGAGGCAGCAGUGGGGAAUAUUGCACAAUGGGCGCAAGCCUGAUGCAGCCAUGCCGCGUGUAUGAAGAAGGCCUUCGGGUUGUAAAGUACUUUCAGCGAGGAGGAAGGCGUUAAGGUUAAUAACCUUAGCGAUUGACGUUACUCGCAGAAGAAGCACCGGCUAACUCCGUGCCAGCAGCCGCGGUAAUACGGAGGGUGCAAGCGUUAAUCGGAAUUACUGGGCGUAAAGCGCACGCAGGCGGUUUGUUAAGUCAGAUGUGAAAUCCCCGGGCUCAACCUGGGAACUGCAUUUGAAACUGGCAAGCUUGAGUCUUGUAGAGGGGGGUAGAAUUCCAGGUGUAGCGGUGAAAUGCGUAGAGAUCUGGAGGAAUACCGGUGGCGAAGGCGGCCCCCUGGACAAAGACUGACGCUC
rnacentral:rRNA from 1 species